CCAGGCACACGGAGCAAGUGGCUUCGUCCUGAAGGUUCCCGGGCAGGAACACGGCUGCCAUGGCCUCUCUCCUGCGGCAGGGAGGUUGGAAGAGGAAAAUCUUUUGGGAUACCCUCCCGUUUGGGGAUGUCACCAGCUCUGGAUGGAGCUGAUUUAUGGCUGAGCUGCUGCUGAAUCUGAGCUCUGGGGCUUGUGUGGAGCAGCUGCUCCAGGCUCAGAUCCAGGGAAACAUCUGAGCCUUCAUUAAAGUCCUGUGUUGCCCCUGAAACUCCGGUUAGGGACUCAGAUGACCUGGUUGUGCUCCAGGGCUCAUCAGGGGCCAUAAAAAGCAACAGGAGAAAGGGAAUACACGAGGAUGCAAAGCCCUCGUCAAGAUCUCUGGGUGAGUUUCCUGAAUCCAUAAAGAUCAAGCUCGGGAUAGGAGUUCUGCACCUCAAAAGAAAGUAACCUUGGUCUUCAAGAAAUAUUUUGUGGGGGCUUGGAGGUCGUGCAUUAAAUGGAAAUGAUAAUUAAAAUACAUAUAAUUUUUCCGGGACUGGGGUUGUCCAUAGCGUGGUGGUUUCCACCUGAGACUUCACCGAGCUCUUGUCAUGGUAAGCUGGGACAGGAGGGAGUGACAGUCACCUGGCUACUGAGGGGUUCAUGUUACCAUGGACUGGGAAACGUGGGAUCCUCUAGAGAGCGAUUUGUCUUCUCCUAAUGAGGACCUGAAAUCAGAUCGAGUGAUCCAUAAAUUCUGACGUGAAAGCCAGCCCCUGCUAAUCCAACACCUCUGAAUUGGGAUCUUGGACACAUCUGGAGCUGUGACAGGGAGGGACAAAUCCCAGCCCCAGAGGUUCUGCUGGGAACUUGAGGAAUUAAUCAGCAAAACCAGUCCUGAAAUUGUCCUGCAGAGCAUUACAACUGUGCAUGUUUAUCUGCCCCUUCUUAUAUAUUUAUAUAUUUUUAUAUGUUUAUAUAUAUUUAUAUCACUCCAUAUGGAAGGAGAAUUCCUUCUCUCCUACCUUCCGUUUCUUUUGAUCUGUAAAUAAACACGAAGAAAUAGUGUGUAUUUUUCCUAUUCCA